CAGGUCUCGUUGGUGAACCAGCGG
rnacentral:rRNA from 1 species